GGCUAACCCCGAGGUUGCAGCUCGGGUUGAAUCUAUUAUCUUGUCGGUUUCGCCUCUUCCUGAUAAAUUGGUUUGGAUACACUCCCCAGAUGGGUGUCUGACUGCAAAGCAAGCCAUCACUUUUUUGCUUCCCUUAACCGUACUUAUUCCUUGGGCAGAUUUGGUUUGGAAAUCUUGCAUAACGUCGUCGCAUUCUUUCAUCUUUUGGCACCUAUGGCAUCAAAAGAUGCUCACGGAUGAGAACCUUCGUAGCCGUGGCUGUUAGAUUGUUUCUGUUUGCUCCCUGUGUAGAUAUGUCUCAGAAACAAGGCAAUACUGCUCAAUUAAAACGAGGGUGAGAAGAAGAAAGCAAAAUCGACUGUGACAUGGCACAUAAUCAAAUGUGAUGGUUCCGUAAAAAAAAAAAAAAAACAAUUCGAAGGUGCCGGUGUACAAUUAAUCCAGACUGAGGAAGAGUGGAAGGACUUGUUACUUUGGUCAUCAACAGUGGCAGAGCCAGAAAAAAAAUGUCAGGGUGGGCCACUAAAAUUAACUAUUGAAAAAUUGUUUAAAGUCUCGCAUAAUUGAAUUAUUUAAAUUUUUCAGGUGGGCCACUACACCAAUUUGCGGGAAUUUAGAUCAACCAAAAUCUAAAACCGGCAUAAAAUUAUAUAAAAUCUCGCAAAAUAGACCUAUAAUUGAAUUAUUUAAAUUUUCGGGUGAGCCACUACACCACUUUGCAGGAAUUUGG
rnacentral:lncRNA from 1 species